GGAGAAGCUGGAGGGCGCGGUGGCCUGUGGCCUAAACGGGGCAAGGUCACCCACGGGACUAGCAGGCCUGGGGCCCGGCGAGGCGGGUUGAGCGGGAGGCCCCCUGCGCCUGGCCCGCCACCGCCAUCUAGGGUUUCAGGAAGUUCACUGUGGCUGCUGUGCUGAGAAUACUGUCGGAAGGUGAGGAGAGAGCUGGCGGUGGAGCCCCCCCAGAUGAUAGCUGUGGCUGGGGUGAGGGUGCUGGAUUCCGGACCCUGCAUUUGAGGAUGGCGCUGACACUCUGGAACGGGGCAGCCCCGGUGGACGGCGGCUCACCCCGCGGAAGCUGAAACGAGCCAUUGGACCUGAGCAGGGAAGGUCCGGAGGAACUUGCGCCGUGACUGCAUACCCUUCGGGCACCCCUGAGGACCCAUGUCGAAGGUUGACCUGAGGGUCUCAGAUGCUGAGGACAGCCCCAGGAAACAGACCUUUGGGUGCCUGGUGCCUUGGGUUCCACCAAGAGGGAAUAGGGAGACCCGGAGGAGGCCUCUCCACAGCGAACACUGCCCCUCCCUCUCGGGCCCUCACAUUGUCCUCUGAGCUCGAGCUCAGAGAACUGUCUCUGCAACGUUUGCCUGGAAUGUUCCCUCCCCUCUGGUCCAGGAGGGACAUUGGUGUGUGGUCUGUGAGAUGCAGGCCCAGGAGCCUUGCUCCACGGCUGACCGAUCCUGUGUAACCCCCCGGCGGGGCCACCUCCCUCUGCGAAGGGGCUUCUAACCACCAGCUCUGCAGUGAGGAGCAUGCAGGCCCGCCUCAGCUGCCACGCUGGCCGGUGGCCACCCCUGCUCGGCAGGUGCUGCCUGGCCUGCGGCAUUGAGCCCCUCCAUCCCUAAGGUGCCCGCAGCUGGAGGGGGAACACCUACCCCUGGUGCAGCCGGCUGAGAGUUCAACGGGAAGAUGCAAGUAAAGCACCUGGAGGGGUAGAGGCCCACGAUGCAAGGGCCAAAGCGUGAGCCCUCGUUCUGCGUCCCUGGCCCCCUUGCACCCACAGUGUAGGAGCGAGAACGAAAGAGUGAAUGUGAGCAUCCGGGUUGCUCAGUGGUUGAGCAUCUGCCUUUGGCCCAGGGCGUGACCCCGGGGUCCUGGGAUCAAGUCCCACAUCCAGCUCCCUGCAUGAAGCCUGCUUCUCCCUCUGCCGGUGUCUCUACCUCUCUCUCCGUGUCUCUCAUGAAUAAAUACCUAAAAUCUUAAAAAAAUGAAUGAGGCUGGAGAUCUUCAGGGUCUGGAAUCAGCCUGUGAAUGUUUUCCUUUAGGACUCCACGGAACAGUAAGUAUUUGUGACUGUGUCUGAGGCCCCCACCUUCACUGCAGGCCACCCUGGAAGCAGUGGACACCCAAAAGAGUACUCAAGACCAUGUGCUUGAGCCCUGCGGCUGCUGGGGUACAGGAGGCAGGAGCAGAAGCUACCAGACAUGGUCAGCCUGACCUACCAAGAGGAAGAACCUUCUGGGUCUUCACUGUGCAGAGCCCUGGAGAUGGGCCCAAUGGGGUCUGGACUCAGUCCCACCCCUCGCAACUGCCAUCACAACCCUGGAGACAUACAAGAGAUGGCCUGUGGAGAAGUUCC